rnacentral:rRNA from 1 species
CCCCUAGAUGUCCUGGGCUGCACGCGCGCUACACUGGAAGUUACGGAUUGAGAUACUACCUUGUCCGAAAUGGUCCGGGUAAUCACCUAAAAGCUUGUCAUAAUUGGAAUGGAUUAUUGUAACUAGUAAUCCUGAACGAGGAAUUCCUAGUAAGUCCCAGUCAACAGCUGGUACUGAUUACGUCCCUGCCCUUUGUACACACCGCCCGUCGCUACUACUGAUUGGACGUUUAAGCAAGAUUUUUAAACACUGACAGUGUGUAGUUCACGCUAUACUACAGUGAGAAGAAGAAGAUCGAGCUUACUUGUCUAGAGGAAGUAAAAGUCGUAACA